CUCUAGUUGCUCGAUUGCUUGGUGAUUUUCAAUCCUUUGUGGUUGAAAAUAGGAAUUAUUGUGUUUGUCGUGCGUAUCCUACGCAAUUGAGGCGUUGAUCUGCUAAUUUUGCAGUAAGGACUUGAAUCCUAAAUUAAAUUCACAUCUCUCAUUGUUACAGACCAUAGAUAGGUCUGUUCUAGUGAAUUAGCUGAAAGUAUUUUAAUUACUAAAGUAGCAAGUUAUCGUGUAGGGUGAUCAAUAGGAUUGUAGCCUUACCUAAUGUUAGUAUUUUAGGGCUAUUUUCCUAAAUUGUAAUAUUAUCGUUUUUAUGGCUAUAUUGGUUGUUUAAUUUCUAUAUUGUCUAUCUCUGCAUGAUUCGAGUGAGUGUUUCAAGUGGAAUUCUUGGCUCCUUCUAAUGGAAAUACCUUGUGUGUAUUUGGAUCAAUGAUCCGAGCCUUGCAUACUCUAUUUUGGUGCCAAUCUUAGUGAUAUUGAAAAGAUGAAGUGUUUAUAUUCAUUCACAGUUAUGAUUUCGU
rnacentral:lncRNA from 1 species